ensembl:lncRNA
AGGAUUUGUCCCCCAGCCCAACCCCAUAGGAAGCCUGGACCCUCACCGAUUCGAGCUACAGAUUUGUUGAGCACAGGGUUAAGCGUGGGGUCCAGAUACUCCUGAACGUUCUGGAGCAGCACUGGAUAUCCAAACUGGAUGGCCUUUUCUAGAAUUUGAAGGUAAUUGCUCAUCUGCAGGUCGAUAAUCUGGAGGCCCUAGAGAGCAAGGGAAAGAGACGGGAGACACGCUGAGCGGCCCAAAGUAAAAUCUGACUCCGGGUCGGGCCUCAGGAAGAGGCAGGCUUGGGAAGAGACGCCAGGGGCCCAAGAGCAGCCCCCGCCCUGCCCCUCCCGCCAGCCUUUACCUGGUUUCCUUCCAUGUUCUUGAUCCACUUCAGGGCCUGGGCCUGAGGGUCAAUCAUCAGUGCCCACCUGAAGGAGGGCGGUCAGUCAGAAGACAGGCUCCGCCCUUGCCCCGCCCCCGCUCCCGGCAGCCUCCUUACCUGUUGCCUCGGGUGACGAUGAUGCCAUUCUCUGUGGAAAAGGCAUCCGAGGGCAACCCUUGGAUGUUCCAGUCUCGAACUUUGCGCGCCUUCUCGCUGGCCAGCCCUGACACCAGCAAGCCCGCUCGCUCCAGCUUCGUUUCCAUGUCCUCGGACUUCUUGCGGAGCUCCUCCUUCUGGGCCAGCUUCUCGUCGUACUGCUUCUUCAGCAUCUCUAGCUUCUCGGCCACCUGGGAGGGACCAGAGCGAACGGCUCAAACGCCACUCUUGUGGCCGCGCUGCUCGGGGUUCCGGUGGCCCAUCUGCCGUUUCGAGGCCUUGGGGCCCCCGUGGCCCGGUGUGCCGUGUGACGAUGCUAACCCCUACCCCGUAGGGCCGUCGCGGACAGAAAACAAGACAAAAUAUGUGUGGUGACGUGAGGUCUUCUUUCCCUUCCCCUCCGCCGCUCUUUUCUUGGGCCAGGAAACUUCUUGUCGUGAAACUCAAGGCCGGGUAGGAAGACAGUCCCCUUGGAGCACAAUCAGCCGCAUGAGUCCCACUGGCGAGAGAGGCUCAGAGGGCACAGAAACGACUGCCACCCCCAUGCCAGUGUGGCACGGCCCGAAGGCAGGACCUCGAGAGAGAAGGAAAAGUCUAGAAACUGUUGGAGAGAGGAAGAGGGACUCCAUUCGGGGCAAAGGCCCAGGUGCAGGGAAGUUCACGUGCCGGCCUGGUGCCCCUGACCGGGCCUCAUCUGGGCUGCGGGAAGGAGGGCACAGGGCGCAGGACACGGGCCCAACUACUGAGGUUGACCUCCAAAAGACCCUGGAAACGCAACAGACUAACUCCCCAAGAAGCUGUCUUUAAAGCAAAAGCACCCAGGGCAGCUGCGUGGCUCAGUCGGUUAAGCAUCCGGGUUCGGCUCAGGUCAUGAGCUCACGGUUCAGGGGUUCAAGCCCUGCAUCAGGCUCUGUGCUGAUGGCUCAGAGCCUGGAACCUGCUUCGGAUUCUGUGUCUCCCUUGCUCUCUGCCCCUCCCCUGCUCACACUCUGUCUCUUUCUUAAGAAUAAAUUUUUUUUUUCAACGUUUAUUUAUUUUUUGGGACAGAGAGAGACAGAGCAUGAACGGGGGAGGGGCAGAGAGAGAGGGAGACACAGAAUCGGAAGCAGGCUCCAGGCUCCGAGCCAUCAGCCCAGAGCCUGACGCGGGGCUCGAACUCACGGACCGCGAGAUC